rnacentral:rRNA from 1 species
CUAUUUUGGAGAGUUUGAUCCUGGCUCAGGACGAACGCUGGCGGCGUGCUUAACACAUGCAAGUCGAACGGAGAACUUUCUUCGGAAUGUUCUUAGUGGCGAACGGGUGAGUAACGCGUAGGCAACCUGCCCUCUGGUUGGGGACAACAUUCCGAAAGGGAUGCUAAUACCGAAUGAGAUCCUCU